rnacentral:rRNA from 1 species
UACGGAGGGUGCAAGCGUUGUUCGGAAUCACUGGGCGUAAAGGGCGUGUAGGCGGUCCGCUAAGUCUGAUGUGAAAGCCCGGGGCUCACCCCCGGAAGGGCAUUGGAAACUGGCGGACUCGAGUCCCGGAGAGGAAGGUGGAAUUCCUGGUGUAGCGGUGAAAUGCGUAGAUAUCAGGAGGAAUACCUAUGGCGAAAGCAGGUAUCUGGGCCAUCACUGACGCUGAGCUGCGAAAGCUAGGGGAGCAAACAGG